UCUCCGUAGGUGAACCUGCGGAGGGAUCAUUACAGAGUUCUCGCCCUCGCGGGUAGAUCUCCCACCCACUGUUAUCGUUACUGUGUUGCUUUGGCGGGCCGCCGGGCCCCGCUCGGCCGCCGGCCCCGGCUGGCGCGCGCCCGCCAGAGGCCCAGCAAACUCUGAAUGUUAGUGUCGUCUGAGUACUAUAUAAUAGUUAAAACUUUCAACAACGGAUCUCUUGGUUCUG
rnacentral:misc_RNA from 1 species